GUGGGGAAUAUUGGACAAUGGGCGAAAGCCUGAUCCAGCCAUGCCGCGUGUGUGAAGAAGGUCUUCGGAUUGUAAAGCACUUUAAGUUGGGAGGAAGGGCAGUAAGUUAAUACCUUGCUGUUUUGACGUUACCGACAGAAUAAGCACCGGCUAACUUCGUGCCAGCAGCCGCGGUAAUACGAAGGGUGCAAGCGUUAAUCGGAAUUACUGGGCGUAAAGCGCGCGUAGGUGGUUCAGCAAGUUGGAGGUGAAAUCCCCGGGCUCAACCUGGGAACUGCCUCCAAAAGUACGGAGCUAGAGUACGGUAGAGGGUAGUGGAAUUUCCUGUGUAGCGGUGAAAUGCGUAGAUAUAGGAAGGAACACCAGUGGCGAAGGCGACUACCUGGACUGAUACUGACACUGAGGUGCGAAAGCGUGGGGAGCAAACAGGAUUAGAAACCCUGGUAGUCC
rnacentral:rRNA from 1 species